rnacentral:lncRNA from 1 species
UAUGAAUUUUGUAAAGAAAGUUGUUGGAAUGAUAGUAUAUUCAGUACUCUUUUAUAAUACGGAUGUUAAUAGUAAACUAUGAAGGAAUUGGUAGAGUAAAACGAGCAGAAAAUGAAUGAUAUAAAAACUAGAAUAAUUAGUUAUAAAAACUAGUGGAUGUUACUUUAGUAUAUAGAGUUAAUUAGUUAUCAUUGGACCUUGGAACCAAUUAAAAGUUUAAUUCUUUUGAAUUAUUGUUCGAUGUAUCGCUGAUACUACGACCACAAGAAGUUAUGAAUGAUAAAAGAACU